CACGGCCGGCGGGGACGCGCACGCUGUCCUCUGCCGGGGCCGCGACCUGGAGAGGGCGGACCCGGAGAACGCGCUGGAUAGCGGCUGGUUAGGCGCGUUCCCGCCUCUCCCGGCGGUGCUCCGGUUCGCCUCCCGCCGUGCUCCCUGCCAGGGUCGGCUCCCGGACCUUGCUUUUCGGGAAGGAAUCCCAGAGCUCCUGUGGCACAGUGGAGGACGCUGGCACCGAGGAGCGCGCGUGACCCGUGCUCCUCGCUCGCCCGCCCGGAGCUCGCACUCGCAGGAAAUAGGACUCUGCUGCCCGGCAGCCCGCGGAGGACGGCUUCUGUGGGCGACCCACGCGGCCUCCAGAGGGCGCGGCGCGGCUUCUGGGAAAUACCUUGGGGACAAAAGCGCGGUCACCCUGCUACACACAGCGCCCGUAGGCGGCCCGGUUACUACCGCCGGCCAGGCUGUGCGGCGGGGCGGGGGACACUGGUGUCACCGACGCCCACCGUCUGGAGGCCUCAUGUCCACUCCCAUCCCAAAACCGUCGUGAAGGGAAUGGGGCGGGGCAGAGGUAAGAAAACCCCGUCGUGUGCUUUUUCUGGUGACAGCAUUUGUACCCCAGCUGUUGGGAACCAUGAUUCACCGUCCUGAAGGGACUGGCUCUUCAGACUUCUUCAUCUGAACGAUCAGCACACUGAAGUAACAACACAAAACCCUGGGGGAGCUUAGACUAAACACAUUGUAAAAGUGCUUUUGUUGUUGUUGUUGUUUAAUGAAGAAAUUUGGAUUUUUGGAACAUUAA